rnacentral:rRNA from 1 species
GACGAACGCUGGCGGCGUGCUUAACACAUGCAAGUCGAACGGAAAGGUCCUGCUUUGGUGGGGUGCUCGAGUGGCGAACGGGUGAGUAACACGUGAGUAACCUGCAACUGACUGUGGGAUAACUUCAGGCAACUGGGGGUAAUACCGGAUAGGAGCUCCUGCUGCUUGGUGGGGGUUGGAAAGUUUAGGCGGUUGGGGAUGGAAUCGCGGCGUAUCAGCUUGUUGGUGUGGUAGUGGCUUACCAAGGCUUGGACGGGUAGCCGGGCUGGGAGGGUGACCGGCCAAGCUGCGACUGAGAUGCGGCACAGACUCCUACGCGAGGCAGCAGUGGAGAAUAGUGCAUUAGGGGCGGAAGCCUGGUGCAGCAACGCCACGUGGGGUGAGACGGCCAUCGGUUUGUGUUGUGCUUUCGCCUGUGACGAGACGUUAAUGACGGUAAUGGGUGAAGAAGCACCGGCUAACUACGUG